UACGUAGGGUGCGAGCGUUUAAUCGGAAUUACUGGGCGUAAAGCGUGCGCAGGCGGUUUUGUAAGCCAGAUGUGAAAUCCCCGGGCUUAACCUGGGAAUGGCAUUUGGGACUGCAAGGCUCGAGUGCGGCAGAGGAGACUGGAAUUCCUGGUGUAGCAGUGAAAUGCGCAGAUAUCAGGAGGAACACCGAUUGCGAAGGCAGCUCGCUGGGACGUUACUGACGCUGAGACGCGAAAGCGUGGGGGAGCAAACAGG
rnacentral:rRNA from 1 species